rnacentral:rRNA from 1 species
CCCUUAGAUGUUCUGGGCCGCACGCGUGCUACACUGAGUGGAUCAGCGGGUCAGGUUGCGCGAAAGUGAUUCCUAAUCUUGAAAUCCGCUCGUGAUGGGGAUUGACGGUUGCAAUUUUCCGUCAUGAACGAGGAAUACCUUGUAAGCGCGGGUCAUCAUCCCGCGCUGAAUACGUCCCUGCCCUUUGUACACACCGCCCGUCGCUCCUACCGAUUGAGUGGUCCGGUGAGGCUUUGGGAUCUGAGCGGAAAGAGCGUUUCGCUGUUUCUGCUCGGAAAACUCAGUCGAACCUUAUCAUUUAGAGGAAGGAGAAGUCGUAACA